GAUAAACGCUGGCGGCGUGCCUAAUACAUGCAAGUCGAGCGAACGGACGAGAAGCUUGCUUCUCUGAUGUUAGCGGCGGACGGGUGAGUAACACGUGGAUAACCUACCUAUAAGACUGGGAUAACUUCGGGAAACCGGAGCUAAUACCGGAUAAUAUUUUGAACCGCAUGGUUCAAAAGUGAAAGACGGUCUUGCUGUCACUUAUAGAUGGAUCCGCGCUGCAUUAGCUAGUUGGUAAGGUAACGGCUUACCAAGGCAACGAUGCAUAGCCGACCUGAGAGGGUGAUCGGCCACACUGGAACUGAGACACGGUCCAGACUCCUACGGGAGGCAGCAGUAGGGAAUCUUCCGCAAUGGGCGAAAGCCUGACGGAGCAACGCCGCGUGAGUGAUGAAGGUCUUCGGAUCGUAAAACUCUGUUAUUAGGGAAGAACAUAUGUGUAAGUAACUGUGCACAUCUUGACGGUACCUAAUCAGAAAGCCACGGCUAACUACGUGCCAGCAGCCGCGGUAAUACGUAGGUGGCAAGCGUUAUCCGGAAUUAUUGGGCGUAAAGCGCGCGUAGGCGGUUUUUUAAGUCUGAUGUGAAAGCCUACGGCUCAACCGUGGAGGGUCAUUGGAAACUGGAAAACUUGAGUGCAGAAGAGGAAAGUGGAAUUCCAUGUGUAGCGGUGAAAUGCGCAGAGAUAUGGAGGAACACCAGUGGCGAAGGCGACUUUCUGGUCUGUAACUGACGCUGAUGUGCGAAAGCGUGGGGAUCAAACAGGAUUAGAUACCCUGGUAGUCCACGCCGUAAACGAUGAGUGCUAAGUGUUAGGGGGUUUCCGCCCCUUAGUGCUGCAGCUAACGCAUUAAGCACUCCGCCUGGGGAGUACGACCGCAAGGUUGAAACUCAAAGGAAUUGACGGGGACCCGCACAAGCGGUGGAGCAUGUGGUUUAAUUCGAAGCAACGCGAAGAACCUUACCAAAUCUUGACAUCCUUUGACAACUCUAGAGAUAGAGCCUUCCCCUUCGGGGGACAAAGUGACAGGUGGUGCAUGGUUGUCGUCAGCUCGUGUCGUGAGAUGUUGGGUUAAGUCCCGCAACGAGCGCAACCCUUAAGCUUAGUUGCCAUCAUUAAGUUGGGCACUCUAAGUUGACUGCCGGUGACAAACCGGAGGAAGGUGGGGAUGACGUCAAAUCAUCAUGCCCCUUAUGAUUUGGGCUACACACGUGCUACAAUGGACAAUACAAAGGGCAGCGAAACCGCGAGGUCAAGCAAAUCCCAUAAAGUUGUUCUCAGUUCGGAUUGUAGUCUGCAACUCGACUACAUGAAGCUGGAAUCGCUAGUAAUCGUAGAUCAGCAUGCUACGGUGAAUACGUUCCCGGGUCU
rnacentral:rRNA from 1 species